rnacentral:rRNA from 1 species
UAUGAACGUUGGCGGCGUGGAUUAGGCAUGCAAGUCGAGCGAGGACUGUAGCAAUACAGGGAAAGCGGCGAAAGGGAGAGUAACACGUAGGUACCUACCCUCGGGUCUGGGAUAGCUGCGGGAAACUGCAAUUAAUACCGGAUGACGUCUCUGGACCAAAGGUGUGAUUCCGCCAGAGGAUGGGCCUGCGUCCUAUUAGCUAGUUGGUGAGGUAACGGCUCACCAAGGCCGAGAUGGGUACGGGGUGUGAGAGCAUGCCCCCGCUCACUGGGACUGAGACACUGCCCAGACACCUACGGGUGGCUGCAGUCGAGGAUCUUCCGCUAUGGGCGCAAGCCUGACGGAGCGACGCCGCGUGCGGGAUGAAGGCUUUCGGGUUGUAAACCGCUGUCAGUGGGGAGCAAAUGCAUCGGGGUUCUCUCCGAUGUUUGAGCGAUCCGCAGAGGAAGCACAGGCUAAUUCCGUGCCAGCAGCCGCGGUAAUAC